rnacentral:rRNA from 1 species
UACGUAGGGUGCGAGCGUUUUCCGGAAUUAUUGGGCGUAAAGGGCUCGUAGGCGGUUUGUCGCGUCGGGAGUGAAAACACCGGGCUUAACUCGGUGCUUGCUUUCGAUACGGGCAGACUAGAGGCAUGCAGGGGAGAACGGAAUUCCUGGUGUAGCGGUGAAAUGCGCAGAUAUCAGGAGGAACACCGGUGGCGAAGGCGGUUCUCUGGGCAUGUCCUGACGCUGAGGAGCGAAAGUGUGGGGAGCGAACAGG